CUCGUUUAUUGAUUUUACCUGGACAUAUUUGUUUCUCUACCAGUAGAUGCAACUGCACAUCUAUCAACGCCCUUCAUUGAAUCAUCUUCAAUUCCAUAGAAAGUCGGCGAGAAAAUGGAAUACUCGAUUGAUUUGUGCGCCUUCUACUUCACAUUCUGCAACAUCUUAUGUCCCGGCCCUAAGGUUUGGGGCUUCAAUUGCGUGAUGGAAUGCUUCUGCAACUGUGACCCGACAGCCGAGGUGGUCAUCCCGGCCCACACUCUUGGCGGACCAAUGGUGAAGGGUUUCUAAGGAUGAUGCAAUUAAAGCUAAUACAUGUUUGGUGUCACAUAUAUCCUCGAUGUCGUUAACAGAACAUACAUACAUGUCCUCUGUUCAGUAGUCAUUAGGAAAGCCCCAUGUACUCUGUAUCCCAAAUACGUGUCCAUCAUACAUACAUGAUGGACGUUUUCCUUGGUUGACCUAUUUAAGCGAACAAUGAAGCGUAUCCAGUUUUCUUGGCAAGUAUUUCACUAAACGUAUUCCAUUUCAUCUUCGACAUCAAUAUGUUCUGAUUCAAAAGUGCCAAAAGCCAACAACAAGGAAGGCUGAAAAUAAGUAAUUAACUGAAAACAGAAGACAAUAUAAAGAUCUAUACAAUGUUUGAUUUCAGAGAGAGAAAACAAGAAAAUAUGGUUCGAAUUUAAUAUUUUUUGAAAUUAAUAUUUACAUUGAUUGGCAAUUUAUAUGGAAAACUGGAGGGUGAAUAUUGGAACACUAUUUAUGUAUGAUUUAUACACAAUGUAGUAUUCGAAAUAAUAAAAUAAAUGUCAUGAAAUGAGAA